rnacentral:rRNA from 1 species
UGGAGGAACAGUUCUUUCGAUGAAGCGGGCGCGUGAGCGAUCCCGUGGAGAGAUCACUAGCGAGAAUGAUGACAUGAGUAGCGACAAAGAGUGUGAGAGACACUCUCGCCGAAAGUCCAAGGGUUCCUGCUUAAAGCUAAUCUGAGCAGGGUAAGCCGGCCCCUAAGCCGAGGCCGAAAGGCGUAGGCGAUGGGAACCAGGUUAAUAUUCCUGGGCCAGGAGAUGGUGACGGAUCACAAAGGUAGUUCAAUCUUAUCGGAUUGAUUGGGCUGCUCCGUGGUCCCUGGAAAUAGCCCUCCGUAGGACCGUACCCGAAACCGACACAGGUGGACUGGUAGAGAAUACCAAGGCGCUUGAUAGAACUCGGGUGAAG